rnacentral:rRNA from 1 species
UACGUAGGUGGCAAGCGUUAUCCGGAAUUAUUGGGCGUAAAGAGCGCGCAGGUGGUUGAUUAAGUCUGAUGUGAAAGCCCACGGCUUAACCGUGGAGGGUCAUUGGAAACUGGUCGACUUGAGUGCAGAAGAGGGAAGUGGAAUUCCAUGUGUAGCGGUGAAAUGCGUAGAUAUUAGGAGGAACACCAGUUGCGAAGGCGGCUCUCUGGACUGUAACUGACACUGAGGCACGAAAGCGUGGGGAGCAAACAGGAUUAGAUA